AUUGAACGCUGGCGGCAUGCCUUACACAUGCAAGUCGAACGGCAGCACGGAGCUUGCUCUGGUGGCGAGUGGCGAACGGGUGAGUAAUAUAUCGGAACGUACCCUAGAGUGGGGGAUAACGUAGCGAAAGUUACGCUAAUACCGCAUACGAUCUAAGGAUGAAAGUGGGGGAUCGCAAGACCUCAUGCUCGUGGAGCGGCCGAUAUCUGAUUAGCUAGUUGGUAGGGUAAAAGCCUACCAAGGCAUCGAUCAGUAGCUGGUCUGAGAGGACGACCAGCCACACUGGAACUGAGACACGGUCCAGACUCCUACGGGAGGCAGCAGUGGGGAAUUUUGGACAAUGGGCGAAAGCCUGAUCCAGCAAUGCCGCGUGAGUGAAGAAGGCCUUCGGGUUGUAAAGCUCUUUUGUCAGGGAAGAAACGGUGAAAGCUAAUAUCUUUUGCUAAUGACGGUACCUGAAGAAUAAGCACCGGCUAACUACGUGCCAGCAGCCGCGGUAAUACGUAGGGUGCAAGCGUUAAUCGGAAUUACUGGGCGUAAAGCGUGCGCAGGCGGUUUUGUAAGUCUGAUGUGAAAUCCCCGGGCUCAACCUGGGAAUUGCAUUGGAGACUGCAAGGCUAGAAUCUGGCAGAGGGGGGUAGAAUUCCACGUGUAGCAGUGAAAUGCGUAGAUAUGUGGAGGAACACCGAUGGCGAAGGCAGCCCCCUGGGUCAAGAUUGACGCUCAUGCACGAAAGCGUGGGGAGCAAACAGGAUUAGAUACCCUGGUAGUCCACGCCCUAAACGAUGUCUACUAGUUGUCGGGUCUUAAUUGACUUGGUAACGCAGCUAACGCGUGAAGUAGACCGCCUGGGGAGUACGGUCGCAAGAUUAAAACUCAAAGGAAUUGACGGGGACCCGCACAAGCGGUGGAUGAUGUGGAUUAAUUCGAUGCAACGCGAAAAACCUUACCUACCCUUGACAUGGCUGGAAUCCUUGAGAGAUCAGGGAGUGCUCGAAAGAGAACCAGUACACAGGUGCUGCAUGGCUGUCGUCAGCUCGUGUCGUGAGACGUUGGGUUAAGUCCCGCAACGAGCGCAACCCUUGUCAUUAGUUGCUACGAAAGGGCACUCUAAUGAGACUGCCGGUGACAAACCGGAGGAAGGUGGGGAUGACGUCAAGUCCUCAUGGCCCUUAUGGGUAGGGCUUCACACGUCAUACAAUGGUACAUACAGAGCGCCGCCAACCCGCGAGGGGGAGCUAAUCGCAGAAAGUGUAUCGUAGUCCGGAUUGUAGUCUGCAACUCGACUGCAUGAAGUUGGAAUCGCUAGUAAUCGCGGAUCAGCAUGUCGCGGUGAAUACGUUCCCGGGUCU
rnacentral:rRNA from 1 species